UCCUUCCCUUCCCCUCGGAGCAAACUUGGAAAGCUUGAAAAAAUAGUUGGUGUCUUCGCUCUCCUUUCUCUGUUUUCCAGAGCGGUCAAGCGAACAUGUUUCUCUACGUCGACCAGCAUGUUUUUGGAUGGGAAAAUUGUGAUAUAUAUCUUACCGGAGACAUCAUUGGAUUAUUCGUCCUCCUGCAGUAGCUGUUUAAAAGGCAGCUGUGAGCUUGGCUUCUCUCUGAGACACUGCGUGUUCACCGCAGCCAUCCGACCUCGAGCUGUUCCGGAACCUUCUGGUCACACAACGCUGUGGGACGGGAUUCCACAACUGUAAGGCUUUUCUGCUCCUACCAUAAAUGGGACAUCAUUUAAAAGUCUUUCAGAUGGUUUCAAGAAGAGAAGAUCCCAGUUUUGUCUCGCGCUUCAUCUGGGAACCCUUUGGACUUUGGUGAUUGAAGGGCAGUUUUCUCGCCACCUACCAUUUUCUGUGAUGAUGACGUCCGUGUGGGAGCUGCCGUACUUGUGGAUGUGCUUCACAGCUUCAUGCAUGCUGUCCACCACCUCCACGCAGCACUCCAGGUCGCCGUACUCGGUGCGCAUGGACUGGGCCCGGCACGGGCUGAACAUCAUGUAGGAGGCCAACUCCGGGCCGGCGUGGAUCUUCACCUUGUGACACGAUAAAGGACUUUAUAGUGCAUGUUAAUGAUCUGGUCGAAAAGCGGCGUCCCGAGGAUGUCACAGUGGAUCAGGAGCGUUUCCAUAGCGUUGCUAGCCGCCGGGUAGUCACACUUGGAGUCUCGGACUGGAACAAAUGAAGUGGUACCAAUUGAAGGUAGAUGUGGCAGAUGCCGUCACUGUGACCCAGCACUGGAAUGCCCUUGGCGGCAUGCUGGAUGUCUCGGACCAGCCGGGAAGACCCCCGGGGGAUGAUCAAGUCGAUCAUCUUGUCCAGACGGCACAGAUCCUCCACCUCUUCGCGGGAGCU